CGGACGGGUGAGUAACACGUAGAGAACCUACCUUACACAGGGGGACGAACGGCUGGAAACGGCUGCUAAUACCGCAUAAGCACCCAGUUUCGCAUGAAACAGAGUGAAAAGAGUAAAUCGGUGUAAGAUGGCUCUGCGUCUGAUUAGCUAGUUGGUGGGGUAAAGGCUCACCAAGGCGACGAUCAGUAGCCGGCCUGAGAGGGCGACCGGCCACAUUGGGACUGAGACACGGCCCAGACUCCUACGGGAGGCAGCAG
rnacentral:rRNA from 1 species